CAGUGGCGAACGGGUGAGUAACACGUGAGCAACCUGCCCUGGACUCUGGGAUAAGCGCUGGAAACGGCGUCUAAUACUGGAUAUGAGACGUGAUCGCAUGGUCGUGUUUGGAAAGAUUUUUCGGUCUGGGAUGGGCUCGCGGCCUAUCAGCUUGUUGGUGAGGUAAUGGCUCACCAAGGCGUCGACGGGUAGCCGGCCUGAGAGGGUGACCGGCCACACUGGGACUGAGACACGGCCCAGACUCCUACGGGAGGCAGCAGUGGGGAAUAUUGCACAAUGGGCGGAAGCCUGAUGCAGCAACGCCGCGUGAGGGAUGACGGCCUUCGGGUUGUAAACCUCUUUUAGCAGGGAAGAAGCGAAAGUGACGGUACCUGCAGAAAAAGCGCCGGCUAACUACGUGCCAGCAGCCGCGGUAAUACGUAGGGCGCAAGCGUUAUCCGGAAUUAUUGGGCGUAAAGAGCUCGUAGGCGGUUUGUCGCGUCUGCUGUGAAAUCCCGAGGCUCAACCUCGGGCCUGCAGUGGGUACGGGCAGACUAGAGUGCGGUAGGGGAGAUUGGAAUUCCUGGUGUAGCGGUGGAAUGCGCAGAUAUCAGGAGGAACACCGAUGGCGAAGGCAGAUCUCUGGGCCGUAACUGACGCUGAGGAGCGAAAGGGUGGGGAGCAAACAGGCUUAGAUACCCUGGUAGUCCACCCCGUAAACGUUGGGAACUAGUUGUGGGGACCAUUCCACGGUUUCCGUGACGCAGCUAACGCAUUAAGUUCCCCGCCUGGGGAGUACGGCCGCAAGGCUAAAACUCAAAGGAAUUGACGGGGACCCGCACAAGCGGCGGAGCAUGCGGAUUAAUUCGAUGCAACGCGAAGAACCUUACCAAGGCUUGACAUAUACGAGAACGGGCCAGAAAUGGUCAACUCUUUGGACACUCGUAAACAGGUGGUGCAUGGUUGUCGUCAGCUCGUGUCGUGAGAUGUUGGGUUAAGUCCCGCAACGAGCGCAACCCUCGUUCUAUGUUGCCAGCACGUAAUGGUGGGAACUCAUGGGAUACUGCCGGGGUCAACUCGGAGGAAGGUGGGGAUGACGUCAAAUCAUCAUGCCCCUUAUGUCUUGGGCUUCACGCAUGCUACAAUGGCCGGUACAAAGGGCUGCAAUACCGUGAGGUGGAGCGAAUCCCAAAAAGCCGGUCCCAGUUCGGAUUGAGGUCUGCAACUCGACCUCAUGAAGUCGGAGUCGCUAGUAAUCGCAGAUCAGCAACGCUGCGGUGAAUACGUUCCCGGGUCUUGUACACACCGCCCGUCAAGUCAUGAAAGUC
rnacentral:rRNA from 1 species